ACAGAUGAGGAGCUUGCUCCUUUGACGUUAGCGGCGGACGGGUGAGUAACACGUGGAUAACCUACCUAUAAGACUGGGAUAACUUCGGGAAACCGGAGCUAAUACCGGAUAAGAUUUUGAACCGCAUGGUUCAAUAGUGAAAGACGGCCUUGCUGUCACUUAUAGAUGGAUCCGCGCCGUAUUAGCUAGUUGGUAAGGUAACGGCUUACCAAGGCAACGAUACGUAGCCGACCUGAGAGGGUGAUCGGCCACACUGGAACUGAGACACGGUCCAGACUCCUACGGGAGGCAGCAGUAGGGAAUCUUCCGCAAUGGGCGAAAGCCUGACGGAGCAACGCCGCGUGAGUGAUGAAGGUCUUCGGAUCGUAAAACUCUGUUAUCAGGGAAGAACAAACGUGUAAGUAACUGUGCACGUCUUGACGGUACCUGAUCAGAAAGCCACGGCUAACUACGUGCCAGCAGCCGCGGUAAUACGUAGGUGGCAAGCGUUAUCCGGAAUUAUUGGGCGUAAAGCGCGCGUAGGCGGUUUUUUAAGUCUGAUGUGAAAGCCCACGGCUCAACCGUGGAGGGUCAUUGGAAACUGGAAAACUUGAGUGCAGAAGAGGAAAGUGGAAUUCCAUGUGUAGCGGUGAAAUGCGCAGAGAUAUGGAGGAACACCAGUGGCGAAGGCGACUUUCUGGUCUGUAACUGACGCUGAUGUGCGAAAGCGUGGGGAUCAAACAGGAUUAGAUACCCUGGUAGUCCACGCCGUAAACGAUGAGUGCUAAGUGUUAGGGGGGUUUCCGCCCCUUAGUGCUGCAGCUAACGCAUUAAGCACUCCGCCUGGGGAGUACGACCGCAAGG
rnacentral:rRNA from 1 species